rnacentral:rRNA from 1 species
UGGGGAAUAUUGCACAAUGGGCGCAAGCCUGACGCAGCCAUGCCGCGUGUAUGAAGAAGGCCUUCGGGUUGUAAAGUACUUUCAGCGGGGAGGAAGGUGUUGAGGUUAAUAACCUCAGCAAUUGACGUUACCCGCAGAAGAAGCACCGGCUAACUCCGUGCCAGCAGCCGCGGUAAUACGGAGGGUGCAAGCGUUAAUCGGAAUUACUGGGCGUAAAGCGCACGCAGGCGGUCUGUCAAGUCGGAUGUGAAAUCCCCGGGCUCAACCUGGGAACUGCAUUCGAAACUGGCAGGCUAGAGUCUUGUAGAGGGGGGUAGAAUUCCAGGUGUAGCGGUGAAAUGCGUAGAGAUCUGGAGGAAUACCGGUGGCGAAGGCGGCCCCCUGGACAAAGACUGACGCUCAGGUGCGAAAGCGUGGGGAGCAAACA